UCGGGGAGAGACAAGAUACGCCCGGCGGAGGGGUCCCGGGGUCCGACGGGGGCAACAGACACCCCUCGGUGGUGAGAGGAGGGGCUGCCUGAGGAGUGGCAGGAGAAACCAGCGGCGAACAGCGAGCGGGAAUGGGAACGAGCCCCUCUUGCCCUUCUGGAACUUGUGUUUGCUGGCUGGGACAAGGCAGCGGAGGAGAAACUGGCAGCGUGAACUGCUCGGCACCCAGGAGCCAAGAGUGCCAAGAUCUGCAGUGACACAUUCACCCCCACCCGUGGUUGCAGAGCUGCUGCCUGGAAUGAGGCUGUUCUCCUGCUUUGUGAAUGCACUUAGAAGCGAGAGAACAAUCGACAGUUUCUUUGCAAUUGAAACAACUAAAAUUAAUCAAGUCCAAAUCCAUCCUGUCCAAGAGACCGUGAAUUCAACUGGAUCAGAAGCCCUUGGUUAAGCAGCCCCUGAAAGUCUAUCAGAAGUUUAUUAGUAUGGUAAUUUAUCUGGAGGGUUUUCGCUGGCAUCUGUUCUCCCCAGACCUGCCUGCACAGUUAUGUCAAGCCUCCUCAAACCCACUUCCAUUCAGAUAAAAAAACCAGAGGAGUGGAGAGCCUGGGCCGGUUUUUCCUUCCAUCACCCUUCAUCUCUCGAGAAGCAGUGUGGUUUGGAAAUGGGAUUUAUAAUUCCCCCUCCCGCAAGCAAGUCAAGAUCUUGUGAACACCACCACCACCACAAAUUAAUUAUCUGGGUGUUGAUGAUUCUGUGUUGUUCAGGAAACCUGUCAUAGGAAGAGUUGAAAAGAGAACAUAAUGAACCCAGAAGGGCUGGCUUGAAAGAGGUGAGGAUCAGGUCAAGUUGAUAAUGGAGGAUGUUAUUCCCUCCUUGAACUGACCUGGAAUCUAAUCUAAUUCAAUGUACACCUUAGAAAUCAAUGGGUAUGAAGCAUUCGCUGCAGUUGUAAAGGAAAAGGUUGGGCAUAUGUUCCUGAUGGUGAGGAAUGACUGUGGAAUGAGCUCCCAAGCUGCAACUCUUGAAGGUGCUGGAGUUACACUGGACAAGGAGAACCAGACUCUAGGUUGAGAAGCCUGGCCAAGUGGUGUACAUGGGGGAUCCACCUCUGCACCUGCUGAAGGGCAUGAGUGAGGCUUCUGCAAAAACAAGGUCUGGCCUUUGAUGACAGUUUGGUUUCUGUGGACCAUGCUCACUGCGUUCUCAUGACUUCUCUAGGUCUGGGAAGUGAUCAGACCCACUGGUGGCCUGGCCUUUCAAUUUGCAAUGAUGGAUUCUGCUCAUUAGUUCUGUGCUUUUUUCCACCUCUGAAUUAAAGAAGUGUUUAAAUUCUAUCUCUUCUAAUAUCAGACACUGAAUCAAAAACCAUAUUGUAUCCACAGAACAAUACUUGUAGGUGGGUGACAGAGGUGAGAUUUGUGCAAACCAGGCAUAAUUAUGUCUUCUUCAUUCACUUUAACUGUAUCUGCUGCCUGAAAUGGCACAGAGCUACAGUUCUGAGAGUUUUUUGGACAUAUUUAAUCAGAGUAGCCUCCAUUUAGUUAUCAAACACAGGAGCAAAAUGAGCUUUGCUUAUAAAAAACCCCAAACUUUCUAAACCUCUGUCCCCCAUUGCUCUCCAUUCUUUUUUCCUUCCUGCAUGGUGCUGAGCAUCUCCCAAGGAUUAAGCGAUUAUUCAGAAAAUUGAUUCUGCUCCCAUUGAAGGUGAUUACUUCCCCCAUGCUGAAAUCCACAAAAGCACAAUCAGAUACACAACUAAGGUAGUUUUAAGCAUUUGCAUCUUAUACAGGUUGGCCUGCAAACACCUGUAGUUUUUCUGGCUGAUAGCAACCAUUUAUGGGCAUAGGGGGUAAGGAAAAAAUCAGUGAACUUUAAAAAGCAAAAUAAAAAGGGAACAUUUUUCUGAUUGAGAAAAAUCAAGCUUAAUGAACUGAGAUGAAAUAAUUUCCUCAAUUUGCUUGGACAUUUUAAAUUAAAAGCAGAGUGUAACCUCUGCUUGCAAAUUACUGUAAACAUUUCAAUCCCUCUCUAAUUCAUGGUGAAAGGGAGGAAAGGCUGGACUAUGGAAUAUUAUUCAAAGAUCACUCUUGGGAAGUCAGACUCUUUGUUUUCCCCUGUUUUUUUGGGCCAGAGUGUCUAGGACUUUACAGAAUUUUAUAUAUAUAUAUUCAUAUAUAUAUAUAUAUAUAUGAAUAUUUAUGAAGAGCUUGCUAGUGACAGACCAGGCUGGCCCUGCAGGCCCAAAGGAAUUAAUGUAAAUUCCAGUCAACCAUGAAAACCCACUAGAAUUGAACUGUAUUUCAGCAUGGUGGAUAAAGCACAUCAAAGAGCAGAAUUUCUAUAAGAUAAUUACACACAAUGCAACUCUAAUCACAGAAAGACUGUGGAUAUUGCUGAUAAAGCGUAAUAAAUCUUUUAUGACUACG